rnacentral:lncRNA from 1 species
CAGCAAUUUUGGUAAAAAUAUCAUCAAGAAAUAAACAAAUGUCAAUUAGAAUAGGGAAAAUAAAAAUGAUGAUAAACUGAUAUGAGUUGAGAAAAAUAGGUUAUACCUUAUUUUUAAAAUAUUAUGUAGGAGCGUUGGAUUACUUUGAUUUCAUGCUGAGAUAAUUAAAAAUACUGUUCUUUAAAACUUUUAAGUGCUCAAUAUAAUAUAUUAUUUUCCUGUUUGAUUGCAAUCUAACAAACAGCAAUAGUAAUAGUUUUGAGAUUUGAGGUUUAGAAUAGCCAAGUGUACACCAGAAAAAAUUACCUUUUUCUGUAGAAUCUCUUUGGGAUCUAACUUUGCAAUGCUUCCAACUUAUAUCAAACUUGCAAGAUCUUACUUUAAUUUGGAGAAAUAAAGGAAUGCAGAAAUGACAAAAAAUUAACAUAAACUAGUUCUAGCCAGUAACUCCCACACCAACUCCACUUCCUUAUUAGUUUUUGGCUGAAACUGAAACUUUUCAGGUUCGGUCUCAGAGUAUUCAGUAUUAGAUCAAACUUCAAACCACCACUACCAGAAAACACGCGUAUAGUGACGGAGAUUCCCGUCACUAUACCGUGUUUCCGGUUACUAAUAUGGAAUUUGUGACCGGAGCUCCCGUCACUGACUUCG